rnacentral:snoRNA from 1 species
CCACGAGGACGAGUUGUGGCGCCGUUCCCUGAGCCCGAGGUGGGUGGGUGGUGCUGCUGUGUGGUGCUGUCUGUCAUUGAUGAUUGUUCCACCCCUUUGGGGUUGGAGAGGGAGGGCAUGGACUGAGUGG